rnacentral:rRNA from 1 species
UACGUAGGGGGCAAGCGUUGUCCGGAAUUAUUGGGCGUAAAGCGCGUGUAGGCGGCCAGAAAAGUCCGCUGUGAAAACUCGAGGCUCAACUUCGAGCUGUCGGUGGAAACUUUCUGGCUAGAGUCCGGAAGAGGAGAAUGGAAUUCCUGGUGUAGCGGUGAAAUGCGCAGAUAUCAGGAAGAACACCCGUGGCGAAGGCGGUUCUCUGGGACGGUACUGACGCUGAGACGCGAAAAGCCGUGGGG